UUCCCAGCUCAGUUGGUCAGACCAUGGUACUGAUAAUGCCACAGCCCUGGGUUCAAUCCCUGGAUGGGACG